GCGGGACUGAAAGGACCCCAGCGACACCAGCGCAGAAAAUCGAAACUGGAAACUGAGGUUUUGCUUGUUUGCUUGUGGGAUAGCGGGUUUGAAUGCGACAUAAGUAUAGGGUUUCAGAAGUUAACUUCACAUUGGGAAUCGACUGUUCGAGACUGGGAGCUAAGGCUAUGUGAGAGAAGCGGCUGGUAAGUAACGUGUUGAUUUUGGAAACAGGACCCAGUGGGCACCCGAUCGGAAGGAGAGUGGAUCGCCUUACGAUCGGUCAGGCCCGCUUAGUACUGAACCGAGCCGAAGAGAAGCAAGAGGACGUGGAAAUCAGCACUCGUCUGCUUACGAGCCGGGUCAGCGAGGCGGGAAUGAGACAGCUGGUCUAGUGGGACUACAGCUCCGUAACACGAGUUGCAGCGAUGAAGCGGAGAACAGACUCCGCGGAACCACACAAGAAGAAGAGGAAACGCUGUGAGGAACCCAGCUCAGAUGAGGAACAUCUAAGUGACAGGGCGAC
rnacentral:lncRNA from 1 species